rnacentral:rRNA from 1 species
UGGGGAAUUUUGGACAAUGGGCGAAAGCCUGAUCCAGCCAUGCCGCGUGCAGGAUGAAGGCCUUCGGGUUGUAAACUGCUUUUGUACGGAACGAAAAGCCUCUUUCUAAUAAAGAGGGGUCAUGACGGUACCGUAAGAAUAAGCACCGGCUAACUACGUGCCAGCAGCCGCGGUAAUACGUAGGGUGCAAGCGUUAAUCGGAAUUACUGGGCGUAAAGCGUGCGCAGGCGGUUUUGUAAGACAGAGGUGAAAUCCCCGGGCUCAACCUGGGAACUGCCUUUGUGACUGCAAGGCUGGAGUGCGGCAGAGGGGGAUGGAAUUCCGCGUGUAGCAGUGAAAUGCGUAGAUAUGCGGAGGAACACCGAUGGCGAAGGCAAUCCCCUGGGCCUGCACUGACGCUCAUGCACGAAAGCGUGGGGAGCAAACAGGAUUAGAUACCCUGGUAGUCCACGCCCUAAACGAUGUCAACUGGUUGUUGGGUCUUCACUGACUCAGUAACGAAGCUAACGCGUGAAGUUGACCGCCUGGGGAGUACGGCCGCAAGGUUGAAACUUAAAGGAAUUGACGGGGUCAUAGCUGUUUCCU